rnacentral:sRNA from 1 species
GGAUGUGAGGGUGAUCUGGCUGUGACAUCUGUCACCCCCACUGAUCGCCAGGGUUGAUUCAGCUGAUCUGGCUGGCUAGGCAGGUGUCCCCUUCCUCCCUCACCGUUCCAUGUGCGUCCCUCCCGAAGCUGUGUGCUCCAUUAAAGAGGACGGCCUUCCCCAAAUAGAGAUGGACCAUUCUUCGGUCAAGGGUAUUGGAGUAGCUACAUUCCACAAGUGGUGAAGCAGGGUCCCUUGCAGGUGUCUCUCUCUGUCUCUUUUCCAACCCUAUCUCCCUCCCCCUUUUGACUUCUCUCUGUGUCUAUCCAAUAAUAAAUUAAAAAUAAAUGAAUAUAUAUUUUUAUUU